rnacentral:rRNA from 1 species
UACGUAGGGUGCAAGCGUUAAUCGGAAUUACUGGGCGUAAAGCGUGCGCAGGCGGCUUUGCAAGACAGAUGUGAAAUCCCCGGGCUUAACCUGGGAACUGCAUUUGUGACUGCAAGGCUAGAGUACGGUAGAGGGGGAUGGAAUUCCGCGUGUAGCAGUGAAAUGCGUAGAUAUGCGGAGGAACACCGAUGGCGAAGGCAAUCCCCUGGACCUGUACUGACGCUCAUGCACGAAAGGCGUGGGGAGCAAACGAGG